GCGGAUGUGGUGGAACUGGUAGACACGCUAGACUUAGGAUCUAGUGCCGCAAGGUGUGCAGGUUCGAUUCCUGUCAUCCGCACAA
rnacentral:tRNA from 4 species